GCUCGUUCUGUCUCGCACUCGUGAACGACUGGCGGCGGCGGCGACUGGAAAACCUCCUCCGUCCACCGCUCUGGUCUGCCUCCGUCCACCGCUCCUGCCUCCUCCGACCGGCGACUGCGACGCCCCCUGCCCUCCUCCCUUCGACGCUCUGCCCCUCCGGAUGGGGUGACGGGGCCGGGGUCGCCAUCCUACUACUUCCCGGAUCUCGUCUCCGCCCCCAAGAUCUUCACCUUCCGAUGACGACGACGGCCAGGAGAUCAUGCUCCUCUUCGUCCAAGGUUAUCCCCUACUCCUCCUCUUCCACCCACCAUUUUUUCCUAACCUGCUACACGCACUAACUUGCGCCUGUACAGAUCCAAGAGCCCUCUCUCCUGUUUGAGUUUUGUAUCACAAGAACCAAUACGAAAGAACAUCCAUCGUUUGCAGUAGUGUUUCUACCUAACUAUCAUGGCCUCACAAGUGAGCACAACCACAUCUACCUCCUUGUGAUGCUAAUAUACACACAAUGUUCUAGUAUAUUUCUGAAGGGGACUACUCAGCCUGUACUAGCUUUGUCCUAAUUUUAACUUAGAAUCUUUAGGAUAACCUGAAGUAUGCUUGUCUUGCUUAUAAUAACGGUGUAGCAUAAACAUACCAGUUAUUGGAAUUCAAUUGCGCUGAUGGAAGUAGCAUUAGUAUCAUGGUAACUGUUCAGUUUAAAAUUACUCUCAUUCAAGUUCUUCCCUUUUGUACCAAGAUAUGGAACCAAGGUUUGAGCAUAUGUAAUCUUGAUAAUUGGCCUUCGGUUUAAACUCUAUGGACCCAAGGGGACAUUCACUCCAUUAUCUCUAUCCAUUUUACACUUUUUGCGUACGCCAUUGAGUUGAUCUAUUGUUGUCUUAAUUUCAAGCUUUAUUUGUAAAAAGUAUGUUAGUGGCAAAGUAAUUAAAAGAUGAAACCAUGUGCUAUUAAGAUUUUGAGUUUUCCUGCAGAUUAUUCAAAGAGAGAACAACAUCUUAUUAUGUUUGGAUCUGUUUGUUUGCGAAAGAUGCAUAUAAAUAAGAAUAUGUGCUAAUAAAUAUUUUGACUUCUGAAUUGAUAUUAUCUUUUUGUAAAGAAUUUUGACUUAUAAUGUGAUUGCAGCAAAGCCAAUUGAUAGUAUUAUCGAUGCAGUGCUGUUAAGUCAUCAAUUACUAAUAUACUGUUAGAAAAUGGCCUUUACUGAUUGAAGGAGAAAAUUGCUACCAAGGAGAAAACAUAAGGUAUGUAAUUUUGAAGUACCAAUUUAGAGGUGCAGUUUUAUGUUUUCUUCCAUUGGGCAUUUUACAAUUUGUUCAUGAAUUUGCACAUGCUAACUAUAAGUAGAUGAAUAUCUUGUGGAGAAAACAGAGGGUGUAUACAAAUGAGUUCAUGCUCUUGUCAGUUUUUCUUUGUGGAAUUACCAUGUCGGCGCUGGUGGCAUUGAACGUGUCGACGAUGGGGGCAAUGCCAUCCUUGACGAUUCAGUUCAGGAUCCCCCACUUGGCGGCGUCCUUGGCGCUGUAGCUCUCUUUCGGGUUCAGCCCGCAGCCGACGGAGACGACCAUGAACUUGCCGUAUGUUGGAAUAAACCCAAGUCCGCACCUAGUAUAUUUCUCUGCCAUGGUAGGCACUUCUGUUUUGCUGCCAUGCAGCGUUUUUAGCUAGUGUCUAGUUUUCAGUUUCAGUCUUUCUUCAGUCAAUCUAUUAGCAAGUUUAGCUAGAGUAGGUAGUCGCCAGGAGCGAUUCUGGCGUCCACUCUGAUCGCUUGUGGGAUGGAAUUUUUUCCAGUUGUAGCUCAUUUUUCAUUAGCUGAUACCUUCAGUUAUCGUAUACCAAUGUCCUUCUCUGAGCCCGUUUUUCAGUUGCAGCUUUGAAUAAAUUCAGUGAAUUUAGUUUCAUGACGAGAUUAUACAAAGCGAAGCAGUUGGUUAGUAGUAAUCCUUUAAACAUAAUACAAUAUCGAGGAGAAAAGCUGUGACGAGCUUGUCAUUAGUGCCAUCCGGUGCAUAUUAUUCUGAACAUUAUACAAUAUUACAAUUGGAAUAUUUUUUAUACAAUCGAAAAGCUCAAAAGGCUAUUUUCAAACUAGUUUCAGUCUAACAUUCGUUUCUUGCGAAAUGAUGGCUUUCAUGCCGUGGUCAUCUAGGAAUUAAAGAGAACAAUAUUAUACAUAUAAGAACACAAAUAGGUGUGUGCUUAUUACGUUUGCAUCUAUUUCAUUGGGAACAUGGAUAUAAAUAAAUAUAUGUGCUUAUAUAUAGUUUAAAAUUUAUAUUGUAUAGUGACUACGUUGUUGUUUUUUGCUUUGCAGGUUUCCUAAAGCUAGUCAAUGAAAUUGUUCAAAGAAGUUGAUCUUGGAAGUUUCAGUAGUGACUAUCCCAGCAGCAACACAUUUUGGCAUGGAUGAUUUACACAGAUACAUGUUAAUAAUGGAACUAAAUGAUUAUUCUUGCUGGAUUUCUACCUUAGUUAGCAUUUCCGCUGUUAAACCAUGAUUAGCACGCUAAAUUUAUUCGCAGUGUCGUUAUUUGUGCGACUGAACAUGUAUAACUUAUGGUCAGCGUGUUUGAUGUGGAUUGAAGUGUUUUAUUUUUUUACUGUUUAUGCUUGUUUCCUGUUUUUUUGUUUUUUCUUUGUCAUUCCUGAAGUUUGCAAU
rnacentral:lncRNA from 1 species